rnacentral:rRNA from 1 species
UGAGGAACAUGACUUUCGGCGGGGGAUAGCCGGCCCAACGGCCGGGUAAUACCGCGUACGACCUUUCGGGGACCUCCCCGGUUGGUGAAAGCAGCAAUGCACCGAAAGGGUGCCUCGCGGCCUAUCAGCUAGUUGGUGAGGUAACGGCUCACCAAGGCAACGACGGGUAGCUGGUCUGAGAGGAUGGCCAGCCACAUUGGGACUGAGACACGGCCCAGACUCCUACGGGGAGCAG